GAUGAACGCUGGCGGCGUGCCUAAUACAUGCAAGUCGAGCGAACGGACGAGAAGCUUGCUUCUCUGAUGUUAGCGGCGGACGGGUGAGUAACACGUGGAUAACCUACCUAUAAGACUGGGAUAACUUCGGGAAACCGGAGCUAAUACCGGAUAAUAUUUUGAACCGCAUGGUUCAAAAGUGAAAGACGGUCUUGCUGUCACUUAUAGAUGGAUCCGCGCUGCAUUAGCUAGUUGGUAAGGUAACGGCUUACCAAGGCAACGAUGCAUAGCCGACCUGAGAGGGUGAUCGGCCACACUGGAACUGAGACACGGUCCAGACUCCUACGGGAGGCAGCAGUAGGGAAUCUUCCGCAAUGGGCGAAAGCCUGACGGAGCAACGCCGCGUGAGUGAUGAAGGUCUUCGGAUCGUAAAACUCUGUUAUUAGGGAAGAACAUAUGUGUAAGUAACUGUGCACAUCUUGACGGUACCUAAUCAGAAAGCCACGGCUAACUACGUGCCAGCAGCCGCGGUAAUACGUAGGUGGCAAGCGUUAUCCGGAAUUAUUGGGCGUAAAGCGCGCGUAGGCCGUUUUUUAAGUCUGAUGUGAAAGCCCCCGGCCUCACCCGUGGAGGGUCAUUGGAAACUGGAAAACUUGAGUGCAGAAAAGGAAAGUGGAAUUCCUUGUGUAGCGGUGAAAUGCGCAGAGAUAUGGAGGAACACCCGUGGCGAAGGCGACUUUCUGGUCUGUAACUGACGCCGAUGUGCGAAAGCGUGGGGAUCAAACAGGAUUAGAUACCCUGGUAGUCCACGCCGUAAACGAUGAGUGCUAAGUGUUAGGGGGUUUCCGCCCCUUAGUGCUGCAGCUAACGCAUUAAGCACUCCGCCUGGGGAGUACGACCGCAAGGUUGAAACUCAAAGGAAUUGACGGGGACCCGCACAAGCGGUGGAGCAUGUGGUUUAAUUCGAAGCAACGCGAAGAACCUUACCAAAUCUUGACAUCCUUUGACAACUCUAGAGAUAGAGCCUUCCCCUUCGGGGGACAAAGUGACAGGUGGUGCAUGGUUGUCGUCAGCUCGUGUCGUGAGAUGUUGGGUUAAGUCCCGCAACGAGCGCAACCCUUAAGCUUAGUUGCCAUCAUUAAGUUGGGCACUCUAAGUUGACUGCCGGUGACAAACCGGAGGAAGGUGGGGAUGACGUCAAAUCAUCAUGCCCCUUAUGAUUUGGGCUACACACGUGCUACAAUGGACAAUACAAAGGGCAGCGAAACCGCGAGGUCAAGCAAAUCCCAUAAAGUUGUUCUCAGUUCGGAUUGUAGUCUGCAACUCGACUACAUGAAGCUGGAAUCGCUAGUAAUCGUAGAUCAGCAUGCUACGGUGAAUACGUUCCCGGGUCU
rnacentral:rRNA from 1 species